GCAGUCGUGGCCCAGUGGUUAAGGCGUUGGACUAGAAAUCCAUUGGGGUCUCCCCGCACAGGUUCAAAUCCUGUCGACUGCG
rnacentral:tRNA from 1 species